CCGAUGGAGACCAGCAACAGGGAGCUCCAAGCCGCGGAGUAUUUGGAAAGGCAUCAGAUCAAGGAGCUGAAAAACCAAGAGAAUAUUUAAUAUCUCUAUUGGAACGACUGAGAAUUGCAAAAGUAACAGGCGUAGCAUUUCCUUUCUUUAUGGAUAACUCUAACAUUGUGGCCAUGUUUGAGAUGAUGGACUCCUCAGGCAGAGGCACUAUAUCAUUUGUGCAGUAUAAAGAAGGUCAGUACAUUCUACAAAUUGAGGUAAUAGUUUGUGGUCAUUCCAUAAUUUUUUUCUAGCAGAAAAUACUUCUCACUUUGUAAAAUUCUCACUUAAUUUCUUCUCAUUAUUUUACAGCCCUAAAAACUCUGGGUCUAUGCACUGAAGAUGAAGAUUUAAAAGAUGAUGGACAUAUAAUAACUUUGGAUAAAUUCAAGGAGGAAGUGUAAGUUUAUUUUUAAGUGACAAAUAUUUUAAUAAGGUGGCAUGAUUUUGAAACAUAACGCCCUUUAAAAUAGGUUCCUAUCUUUUGAAAGAAAUAUUUUGUUCCCUUAAAACUUUCAGCUGACUGGAAAGUGAGGACAGGGAAGGCUGACAGUAAAGUCUCUAAGCUCGGGAAUAGGAGGGGAAAAUGCUGGGGUUAGAGAGGAAGCUCCGGAGGUAGCUUCAUUCUUUUUUUUUUUUCUGAGAUGGAGUCUUGCUCUGUUGCCCAGGCUGGAGUGCAGUGGCAGUAUC